ACGAGCAGGAUGGAGGGAUAACUGAAUUUCCCUUUGCACAAGCUAAGGUGAAAUAUCACCGGUCCCGUUACUGCAUCACUGCCUUCGGGGAAACCAAUUGCGUUAGGAUGGAAGAGGAACCCGGAAGCGCUGAGAAGUUAGCAAAGCUCUACAAAAUAGUAAUGCAGGGAUACCAACAAAACGUAGCCUUACGGACGGGUCAAAAUAUUAAACCAAGUAUCCGAAGCCUUGAUGCUAUACUGAGCCAGGACAUAAACAUGGACGCACUGAACCAGUUGAUUAAGCCCCUAAGAA